GUCCUUUAGAUAUUAAUUUAAGGUCUAACCUGCCCACUGAAUUGUUUUUAAAUGGCCGCAGUAAUUUGACUGUGCAAAGGUAGCAUAAUCAUUAGUUUUUUAAUUAAAAGCUUGUAUGAAAGGUUGGACGAAGUAAAAUCUGUCUCUAAUUAAAUUAGUUUAGAAUUUAACUUUUAAGUUAAAAGGCUUAAAUUUAACUAAAAGACGAGAAGACCCUAUAGAUCUUUAUAAUUUUAUUAUUAUAUUUAAUUAUGAAUUUUUAAAAUUUUAUUAAUAAAAUUAUUUUAUUGGGGUAAUAUAAAGAUUAAAAUAAUUCUUUUUUUAUAUUUACAUUAAUUUAUGAUUUUUAUGAUCCAAUUUUAUUGAUUAAAAGAUUAAGUUACCUUAGGGAUAACAGCGUAAUUUUUUUAGAGAGUUCUUAUCGAUAAAAAAGUUUGCGACCUCGAUGUUGGAUUAAAGAUUAUUUUAGGUGUAGAAGUUUGAAAAUUUUGGUCUGUUCGACCAUUAAAUCUUUACAUGAUCUGAGUUCAGACCGGUGUAAGCCAGGUCGGUUUCUAUCUUUAGUAAAUUAAAAUAUUUUAGUACGAAAGGACCAAUUAUUUAAUAUAUUAAUAUUUAUAGAUUUUGAUUAUUAUUAA
rnacentral:rRNA from 1 species